AAUGACAGAAGGUGGAUGGAACUACAGAUAUGGUUGCAAAGAUGGCUUAUAAACAAUAGUGUUUCAGUUGAUUUAAUUAGCCGAGGAAGUAUUUAGAGGCUCAAUUGAGAUUGCAGUGGGAAAUUGCUCUGAAAUGGCCAGCCCUGAUUUUUCACAUUGGGUGCCGUGCGCGAAGGAUUUCACCCUUUCUUUGUAGAUAAUUAGAAUGACCACAAUCACUCCCUGGAUGGCCACUGAUUGGAGCGCACACAUGCCAUGAGAAAUAUGAAAAGUGGCGUUCCUUUCAAAGACCAACGGCUGCUCCUGCUCCGCGUAAUACUGAGAAUUUGUGCUGUUUUGAAAUGAGUUGGCAGCCUCCUGGCAGUAAGCCAUUUUAUUUGUAAAGGUUUAAUUAACCCCCAUCCCCCUCUUUCAGCCCCAUCUCUACCACAUAUUCUGAGAAACUGUGUGUUUUGAUUUUUUAAAAAAAUAUUUUGGCAUUUUUCUCUGGCUGCUUUGUAAGCGCACGAUGGACUUGUUUGUGGAAAAGGCCGUGCGUUUAUAACAAGAGGGUAAACAUUUGCUACACGCUGCUGCGGGGAACAGACCGCCAGCCGAAUUGUGGCAUCCAGCCCUUUCUGAUAAGGCUUUAAACUCAAGAGUGAUUGUCAGUACGUGAGCCUGUUUGCACUUGUUGGUUUUUCUCGUUGGGAUUUUUCUCUGAAUGAGGCGUCUGCGGAACUGCCUGCGCAAGAGCCGGUGGCUGGAACGGGUGUUGGGUGGACUAUGUCUCACACAGCCUCCAAGAGGCUUCUGUGCAUUCACUACUGCCCUGUAUCAGAAGCUGGCUUGGAAAGGCAGAGUCAAUAUAGUACAGAGUGGAACUACAGAUACAAAGUGCCAUUCAGGCAUUCUGUUACCUGUGCUUCACAGCUGAUCUGCCGCGACGUGGACCCCUGGGUUUAUCAGGAGCAGUGGCCAGACUCUCUCCCGCUCCAUCCAGAUGUGGCCCUUUUUCGAUAGUCGGACGCAGCCGAUGCCCGUGACGAUGUGGCUGGUAACCGGGCCUGUCAUUCAUUCACCCCACAGAACCCCCGGCAUCGCAUAUCGCUGCACAGCCACCACAUCUCACCCACGCGCAGAACCAGAGAAUUUAUAACACGGCUCUUUCUCCCUCUUCAGACUUCUUAAUGUUAAAAUGUUAAUUCUCUGAAGCGUUGAUGUCUGCACUCUUUGGUCAAAUGUCAAAACGAAAGGGAAAGGACUGUGUGAGCGGGAGGCAUAAUUAAUGUCCCUCAGGGAGCUGGUAUAUCGAGAAUUAUUACAGAUUGAUUUAAACAUUUUUCAAGGCGAUGCUGCUCUCCUUAGCCGAGCGGGAGGAAGGCCGGCCCCAGUUAUUUGAUCCCUGUGAAUAAUGAUAGCGCGAAGGUCUGAGCCGUGUUCCUCGCUCGAAGGCCAGGGCCUAACUGCUUUGUCGGUUGCUAACGGGAACGAAGCUACUGCUUUGGAAUAGCCCUGAAAACCAAAAUAGCACAGUUCCCUCGUAAAAAAAAAAAAAAAAAGUAGUGUUUUGAACCACGUUGGUCAUGUUAUGGGGUGUGCUACCAUACUAGACAUAUGAUGUUUCUCAACAAAAAUACACAGAUGCACCCUUAUGCCCCUCUGCUUAAUGCUUUGGCACUUUAAUAUAUCAUUAUUCCAAACCGCACUUUGAAAAAUGUAAAAAUUUCAAUUUAAAUACUCUUAUGCACUUACCCCGCUCUGGGCAUGUCGAAGUGUCCUUGAGCAAGACACCUAACCCCUAACUGCUCUGGCGAAUGACAGGCAUCAAUUGUAAAGCGCUUUGGAUAAAAGCGCUAUAUAAAUGCAGUCCAUUUACCAUUUACCAUACCUAUAGCAAGUUGCAGUUUAAAUUUGCCAUUUAAAAUGACCUAAAACAUAUAAAAGCUUAGACAACCUGAAACCUUUGUGGAUUCUUAAAGUUACAAGAUAUAAUUUAACACAACAGCUUCUUUUUUUUUUUGCGAGGUUGAAUUUUGCAAUCUGUUGCACCAAACUUCACUCCCAGAAGUUUGGUGCAACAGACAGCGCAUUCACUGGGCCUGUAGAUGGCGCCAAAUACAAUGUGACUCUUAUUUUGUUUUAUAUGCAGGAUGUUAUAUUUUUAUCUGAUAGGAGACAAAAGACAACAAUGUUUGUUGGGGCUGUGAGUCUUCUUUCUAAUAAAUUUAAAAAAUCUCUUGA